GCCAGGCUCGGGAAAGCUCCCAGCACACACCUGAAAAGCCGCACUGCCAAGGGCAGCUGCCAGGAGGAUCAGGGAGUGGCUGGUCAUGCACAACGGGGCCUUUGUGAGGCUUCUGCACAGGGGCACCCAUUGAACCAGGGCAGGGCCUGUUAGCUUAUGACCAGCAGGUGACCUGAUUUCCUUGUCCACUGGCACAGAGCACACCCUGCCACAGUGCAAGCCUGAGAAGCAGUGAGGACCCCAUGAAGCUGAAGGACAGGCCGAUCCCCCGAUAGACGAUUAGAUCUGGCUGGAGCAGAUUCAGAAAACCUCUUAUCUCCCCCAGGCGGAUGAUGUGCCCACCGACCACAUCAGCCACGUGAGAUCCAGUGCGACAGUGGAGCAUGUGUGCGCAGAGGAGACAGGAACAACAACCGGGAUGUCAUGCGGGCGCACUGGGGCUCCUUGUGGCCCCAGUGCACAGAAUUCUGGUGGACCCACCAUGUGUGGGAGCUCAGUGAGACUCAAAGUAAGUGCAAGGCCCUCCUCACACAUCGUACGCUGAAGGUGGAGCACACUGGGAAAAUGUGCAUGCAUCAAGAAGAAAAAUGAAAACUGAUUUUGUGCAACAUUUCCACUGUUCUUGGAAGAAUGAAAUAAAUGCAUAUGAGCUAUGAAAUAUGGAUUGUAUAAUUCUAGUGAUUCUGCAUAUAAGUCAG
rnacentral:lncRNA from 1 species